UAUUGUAGCAACGCUUUCCAUGAUGUUUCUCUUUGGAAUGGAACUAAAUAACUAUUUGACAGUGACCACCACUACAUCCGUUGUUGUUGAUAAGAGUUCUGAUGCGGAAUUCUUACGAAUUGAUUUUAAUAUGAGUUUUCCGGCACUGUCUUGUGAAUUUGCAUCAGUGGAUGUGAGUGACGUCUUAGGAA